CUUGUCCCUGGCAGUGCCCCCAGCCCCUGCCCCCUGCCCUGCCAGGAGCCGCUCCCCACGUGCUCCAGGGUGACUCCUCCGCCCUUCCCCUCUGCAGGCCUGGGGCUGGCCCUCUCUUGGGCAGAGAGCCCAGCUUCAAGUCCAGCAGACCUGUGCCUCCUCUCCCGUGUCAUUGGCCAGAGCAAGGCAUGUGGCUGUGCACAAAUCAGAGAGCAGAGCAGUGCAAACUGGCUUGUGCCUGCAAGAAGGGAGCCCCAUGCUGAGUCCUGGUUAUCUGGGGCCACCCACUCAGGCCCCCUUUACCAGCAGGUGCGCCCACCGCCCAGCCACCACUGCUCUGCAGCAUUGCUCUUGGCCACAGGAAGCCUCCUGGCAGGGCAGGCGACCCCUCUGCAGACUCAGCCGAAGAUGGAAGACAAAGGGAGGUACCACAGGCCACCCCAUUGCUCCUAGGUGGAAACCCACUCUGCUGCUCCUGGGGGGUCAGGAGGUGCUUUCCUCUCCCUCUUCACGAGCCCCCUCUCAAGAGCACCCCACCAGUCACUUGAACUGAGAGCCCGUCUCAGCCCCUAGGGUCCGACCUGGGACAGAAACUUUCCUCGCGGGUCUAGGGAGGAAUCCCAUUGCUUACUGGUCUUGGAGCUUGAUCACCACCUGGAAAGUGGGACCCGCCUCAGCAGGGUGGUGAGGACGCAGUAGGACAAAUGCAUAGAAGCGCCGGGAACCAGCCUGCCCAGCCCAGGCCCUGGUGAGAGCUGGCCAGCAUCCCUACGGCUUGUUUGGUGUUUUGAAGUUGGGGGAGUUCUCUCUUUUUUUGCAAAGGAGAAGGACUGAAGGUGUUGAGCAGCGGCUCCUCUCUGUUGAUGGGAAGGAGUACGAAAUGACAAGCUCAAGAAGCCACACAGCCACAAGGCUCAGGCCACCUGCAAGGUGUGGCUCCAGGUCCUGCCUUCCAUUGCAGCAUGACCCCCCACCCCAACCAGGUGCCACCAGGAAAGACUACGAGAGGGACCAGAGGGGGCAGAGAGCAAGCCUGGGUCUGCAGGGCUGCCUCUGGGGCUGGGGAGGAAGGCUUCGCUUUCCAAGAAUGCCUGGGCAUUACCCAGGGAUAGUCCUGCACUCUUGUCCCCCUCUGACGCUGUCACCAUCGAGCCACGUGCUGCACGACAUUCCAGGUGCUCACAGCCUUUUCCUUCUCCUUCCCGUGGAGGCUGACCCCAUCCCGUAACAUGCAUGGAGAUCAUCUCGUUUCAAAGCUGAAGGAUCCAAGAGAUCUUUGCCUUCUUCGGCAGGGUAACCACUCAACAAACCUCUUUCCCUAUGAGCAUUCUCUGUCCCUGGCACCUGCCUUAUCAUUUUUGUUUUGUCAGGCCUGCAAAUUACUUCAAACAAACAAGCUAGUGCAGGAAAAGUAAUGGCCAGAACGCUUGGUUUCCACUAAACGUUACAUUGUGGGAACAUUGUGACUUCUGGAAAACGGGGUGAGGUGACGCUGGCUGGCCGGCCGGGGCACAGGACGUUCUGUUCCGAGCUGCAGCUUGGUGGCUUCUGUGCUCGGGCUCAGCCUUGCACAGCUUCCCGAUUAGGGAAGGAGAACUGAGCUCUCAGGCUUCUCCGGGAGCCGGUCUCGCUCGCCUGGGGCCAGGAGCUGGCGCAGAGAGCAGAUUCCAGAGCCCGUGCUGCCCGGGCGUCUGGCUGCUGAAGCUCCGGCCCCAGCAAGGCGGCUGCUGUUAGUUAGCGUGUCUGCAGGGAGCAGGGUUAGCUCUCCAGGGCUGGCUGAGUGGGGCAGGAAGAACCUCUCUGGCUGGGGUCUGCCCUCACACGGAGAGGGCAUCUGGCGCUCCGGGUCACAUCUGCUGGAGGGCAGAACCCUGGCCUGUGCAGCCCCACUCCCCGCCCCCCCCACCAGGGCCGAACUGGCUAACUGAUCCUGGGCUGCAGUCUCUCCUGGUUUCCUCUUCUGUCACUGAGCCUGCUCAGACGACUCUCGUGGGGUCGCUGCAGAGACUGACGGAGCAGAGUUCUGGGAAGGUGCCCCACAGGAGCUCACUCGCGGUGCACGCCCUGGAGAUGGGGGCUCCUUCACCCCUCCUGGGAGUGAACGAUGCUGCUUUUCUACCGCACAGCAAACCUGCACCUGUGGCCUCACCCAGGUUCCCCCAUCCCUUGGGAGUCAUGUCUCUGUGGUCAUCAGGCUGACGCCACCCCGAGGCAGCCUCGCCUCGGUC
rnacentral:lncRNA from 1 species